GGGGCCCCAGGAAGCUGCCUGCACCAUGGCCUGGACCUCUCUCCUGCUCGUGCUUCUCUCCCACUGCACAGGUUCCCUCUCCCAGCUUGUGCUGACUCAGCCGCCCUCCCUCUCUGCAUCUCUGGGAGCCACAGCCAGACUCACCUGCACCCUCAGCAGUGACAUCAAUGUUGGUAAACUGGUACCAGCAGAACCCAGGGAGCCCUCCCCGGUAUCUCCUGUGGUAUAAAUCAGACUCAGAGAAGCACCAGGGCUCCGGGGUCCCCAGUCGCUUCUCAGGAUC